AGCAGCCGCGGUAAUUCCAGCUCCAAUAGCGUAUAUUAAAGUUGUUGCAGUUAAAAAGCUCGUAGUUGAAUUUCGAGAUCAAUUUGUCGGUCGUGCCUCGGUACGUACUGGCAUUAUUGAUUUCUCCCUUCUGAAGAACCGCGAUGUCAUUAAUUUGGUGUCGUGGGGAAUCAGGACUGUUACUUUGAAAAAAUUAGAGUGUUUAAAGCAGGCGCACGCUUGAAUACAUUAGCAUGGAAUAAUGAAAUAGGACGUUUGAUUCUAUUUUGUUGGUUUCUAGGAUCGACGUAAUGAUUAAUAGGGAUAGUUGGGGGCAUUAGUAUUCAAUUGUCAGAGGUGAAAUUCUUGGAUUUAUUGAAGACUAACUACUGCGAAAGUAUUUGCCAAGGAUGUUUUCAUUAAUCAAGAACGAAAGUUAGGGGAUCGAAGACGAUCAGAUACCGUCGUAGUCUUAACCAUAAACUAUGCCGACUAGGGAUCGGGAUGAUGUUAAUUUUUAAUGACUCAUUCGGCGCCUUAA
rnacentral:rRNA from 1 species